rnacentral:lncRNA from 11 species
GCAGUAUGCAUCGGAAUUUGUUUGUAUUUUUUUCAAAUGAUAAUCCGGCCCCUCAACAGUCUGAUUGUGGACCGGCCCUCGGCUUAAAAAGUUUGAGGACCCCUGGUCUAAACUAACUAACUAAAUAAUAAUAAUUCAUUUCUAUCCUGCUUUUCUCUAAAUAGAUAUUUGGUAUAAUCUCCACCUCUGCCUUAAGUCAAACAGGAAAGACUCAAAGAUGUCCCUCUGCAUCCAGCUCAGACAACUUAGAAGAGAGGAUUAGAAGUCAGGGGAAAUUAAAAUAAAUGCAACCUGAGAGGUAUCAGUCUGUAUCAUUAAUGAGAUGGGAGGGAAGAGAGAAAUGAGAGAAGGGUUCCCUAGCCUAGCUUAUUUUCUGCCAAUCUACAGACAGUCCCCAAGUUACAAACAAUAGAGCAGGGGUCCUCAAACUUUUAAAGCAGAGGGCCGGUCCACAAUCCUUCAGACUGUUGAGGGGCCGA